CGAAGGGAGCUAGCGUUGUUCGGAAUUACUGGGCGUAAAGGGCGCGUAGGCGGUUUGACAAGUUGGAUGUGAAAGUCCAGGGCUCAACCCUGGAAUUGCAUUCAAGACUGUCUUACUUGGAUUCGGUAGAGGUUGGUGGAAUUCCCAGUGUAGAGGUGAAAUUCGUAGAGAUUGGGAAGAACACCCGUGGCGAAGGCGGCCAACUGGACCGACAUCGACGCUGAGGCGCGAAAGCGUGGGGAUCAAACAGGAUUAGAUACCCUGGUAGUCCACGCCGUAAACGAUGCAUGCUAGACGUUGGAAGCCUCUGACUUCUUGUGUCGCAGCUAACGCAAUAAGCAUGCCGCCUGGGGAGUACGGCCGCAAGGUUG
rnacentral:rRNA from 1 species